CUUCCUUGUGUUGCUCUUUUGUAGACAAAGUGGUGCCCUGCGCCAGGCUGUGAUUUUGCUGUUGACUUUGUUGCUGGUAGUUCAAGCUUUGAUGUUUCUUGCAACUGCUCAUUUAGCUUUUGCUGGAACUGUACCGAGGAAGCGCAUCGACCAGUUGACAGUGUCACUAUUGCCAAGUGGAUCUUGAAGAAUUGUGCCGAGUCUGAAAAUAUGAAUUGGAUAUUAGCCAACUCUAAGCCUUGUCCAAAAUGCAAACGACCCAUUGAGAAAAAUCAGGGGUGUAUGCAUAUUACCUGCACACCUCCUUGUAAAUUCGAGUUUUGUUGGCUCUGCCUUGGUGCUUGGUCAGAUCACGGAGAAAGGACAUGAGGUUUUUAUGCGUGCAAUCGCUACGAGACAUCAAAGCAAGAGGGAUUGUAUGAUGAGGCGGAGAAGAGAAGAGAAAUGGCUAAAUUCUUUAGAGAGAUAUACACAUUACUACGAAAGAUGUGCGACUAACCAGUCGGUAAGUUUUGUAUAUCGGAUGAGAAAAUUGUAUUUUUGUACCUAAUGUUUUUGAUUUAAUCCUCUCGUAGGAUUUUAUCUUUCUUUUGGUUGUAUACAAAUUCUGUACUUAAGAAAAGAAAAGAAGAAAUGACUAGAUUUAGUACUGCUGUUUUAGAUU